GAUAAACGCUGGCGGCGUGCUUUAUGCAUGCAAAUCGAACGGUUCUUCUCUUCGGAGAAGGAUAGUGGUGAAUGGGUGAGUAACGCGUAAGUAACCUGCCCUCAAGUAGGGAAUAACUCUGAGAAAUUGGAGCUAAUACCGUAUGUGGUGAUGGAGGUAAUGCACCAUCACUAAAGCCUUCGGGCGCUUAGGGAUGGGCUUGCGUCCGAUUAGCUAGUUGGUGGGGUAAUGGUCCACCAAGGCGACUAUCGGUAGCUGGUCUGAGAGGAUGAUCAGCCACACUGGGACUGAGAUACGGCCCAGACUCCUACGGGAGGCAGCAGCAAGGAAUUUUGUGCAAUGGGCGAAAGCCUGACACAGCGACGUCGCGUGGGGGAUGACAGCCCUCGGGUUGUAAACCCCUUUUCUCAGGGAAGAAUAAUGACGGUACCUGAGGAAUAAGUCUCGGCUAACUACGUGCCAGCAGCCGCGGUAAUACGUAGGAGGCAAGCGUUAUCCGGAUUUACUGGGCGUAAAGAGAGCGUAGGCGGUUCUUCAAGUCGGAUGUGAAAUCUCCCAGCUUAACUGGGAGGGGCCAUUCGAUACUGUUGGGCUAGAGGGCAGUAGAGGGAGGCGGAACUCCCGGUGUAGUGGUGAAAUGCGUAGAUAUCGGGAGGAACACCAGUGGCGAAGGCGGCCUCCUGGGCUGUACCUGACGCUGAGGCCCGAAAGCGUGGGGAGCGAACAGGAUUAGAUACCCUGGUAGUCCACGCAGUAAACGAUGGACACUAGGUAUGGGGAGUAUCGACCCUCUCUGUGCCGAAGCUAACGCGAUAAGUGUUCCGCCUGGGGAGUACGGCCGCAAGGCUAAAACUCAAAGGAAUUGACGGGGACCCGCACAAGCAGCGGAGCGUGUGGUUUAAUUCGAAGCGACGCGAAGAACCUUACCAGGGCUUGACAUGUUCAGGACCGCCGGUGAAAGCCGGUUUCCCUUCGGGGCCUGAUCACAGAUGCUGCAUGGCUGUCGUCAGCUCGUGCCGUGAGGUGUUGGGUUAAGUCCCGCAACGAGCGCAACCCCUGUCGUCAGUUGGAUUUUUCUGGCGAGACUGCCCGGAGCAACCGGGAGGAAGGCGGGGAUGACGUCAAGUCAGCAUGGCUCUUACGUCCUGGGCUACUCACACGCUACAAUGGGUCGGACAAACCGUUGCGAAGCCGCGAGGUGGAGCCAAUCGGACAAACCGGUCCUCAGUUCGGAUUGCAGGCUGCAACUCGCCUGCAUGAAGCCGGAGUUGCUAGUAACCGUAGGUCAGCCUUACUACGGUGAAUACGUUCCCGGGCCUUGUACACACCGCCCGUCACGUCAUGGAAGUUGGUAACACCUGAAGUCGUCGAGCCAACCCGCAAGGGAGGCAGAUGCCCAAGGUGGGACUGAUGACUGGGACG
rnacentral:rRNA from 1 species